rnacentral:rRNA from 1 species
GAUGAACGCUGGCGGCGUGCCUAAUACAUGCAAGUCGAGCGAACAGACGAGGAGCUUGCUCCUUCGACGUUAGCGGCGGACGGGUGAGUAACACGUAGGUAACCUACCUAUAAGACUGGGAGAACUUCGGGAAACCGGAGCUAAUACCGGAUAAUAUUUCGAACCGCAUGGUUCGAUAGUGAAAGAUGGCUUUGCUAUCACUUAUAGAUGGACCUGCGCCGUAUUAGCUAGUUGGUAAGGUAACGGCUUACCAAGGCAACGAUACGUAGCCGACCUGAGAGGGUGAUCGGCCACACUGGAACUGAGACACGGUCCAGACUCCUACGGGAGGCAGCAGUAGGGAAUAUUCCGCAAUGGGCGCAAGCCUGACGGAGCAACGCCGCGUGAGUGAUGAAGGUCUUCGGAUCGUAAAACUCUGUUAUUAGGGAAGAACAAACGUGUAAGUAACUGUGCACGUCUUGACGGUACCUAAUCAGAAAGCCACGGCUAACUACGUG